AUUGAACGCUGGCGGCAGGCUUAACACAUGCAAGUCGAGCGGAGAUGAGGUGCUUGCACCUUAUCUUAGCGGCGGACGGGUGAGUAAUGCUUAGGAAUCUGCCUAUUAGUGGGGGACAACAUUCCGAAAGGAAUGCUAAUACCGCAUACGUCCUACGGGAGAAAGCGGGGGAUCUUCGGACCUUGCGCUAAUAGAUGAGCCUAAGUCGGAUUAGCUAGUUGGUGGGGUAAAGGCCUACCAAGGCGACGAUCUGUAGCGGGUCUGAGAGGAUGAUCCGCCACACUGGGACUGAGACACGGCCCAGACUCCUACGGGAGGCAGCAGUGGGGAAUAUUGGACAAUGGGGGGAACCCUGAUCCAGCCAUGCCGCGUGUGUGAAGAAGGCCUUAUGGUUGUAAAGCACUUUAAGCGAGGAGGAGGCUACCGAGACUAAUACUCUUGGAUAGUGGACGUUACUCGCAGAAUAAGCACCGGCUAACUCUGUGCCAGCAGCCGCCGUAAAAC
rnacentral:rRNA from 1 species